UACGGGGGGGGGCAAGCGUUGUUCGGAAUUACUGGGCGUAAAGGGCGCGUAGGCGGUCUACUAAGUCGGAUGUGAAAACUCUGGGCUUAACCCAGAGCCUGCAUUCAAAACUGAUAGGCUGGAGUUCUGGAGGGGAUAGCGGAAUUCCUGGUGUAGCGGUGAAAUGCGUAGAUAUCAGGAGGAACACCGGUGGCGAAGGCGGCUAUCUGGACAGAAACUGACGCUGAGGAGCGAAAGCGUGGGGAGCGAACAGG
rnacentral:rRNA from 1 species